CUCCUACGGGAGGCAGCAGUGGGGAAUAUUGCACAAUGGGGGAAACCCUGAUGCAGCCAUGCCGCGUGUGUGAAGAAGGCCUUCGGGUUGUAAAGCACUUUCAGCGAGGAGGAAAGGUUGGUAGCUAAUAACUGCCAGCUGUGACGUUACUCGCAGAAGAAGCACCGGCUAACUCCGUGCCAGCAGCCGCGGUAAUAC
rnacentral:rRNA from 1 species